CCUACGGGGGGCUGCAGUGAGGAAUAUUGGUCAAUGGGCGAGAGCCUGAACCAGCCAAGUCGCGUGAGGGAGUACUGCCCUAUGGGUUGUAAACCUCUUUUGUCGGGGAGCAAAAGCCGGACGUGUCCGGCUGUGAGAGUACCCGACGAAAAAGCAUCGGCUAACUCCGUGCCAGCGGCCGCGGUAAUACGGAGGAUGCGAGCGUUAUCCGGAUUUAUUGGGUUUAAAGGGUGCGCAGGCGGAUUUUUAGGUCAUCGGUCAAAACGUGGGGCUCAACCCCAUCCAGCCGUUGAAACUGGGGAUCUAGAGUGUGCGAGAGGUAUGCGGAAUGCGUGGUGUAGCGGUGAAAUGCAUAGAUAUCGCGCAGAACCCCGAUUGCGAAGGCAGCAUACUGGUGCACAACUGACGCUCAGGCACGAAAGCGUGGGUAUCGAACAGGAUUAGAUACCCUUGUAGUC
rnacentral:rRNA from 1 species